UACGUAGGGUGCGAGCGUUAAUCGGAAUUACUGGGCGUAAAGCGUGCGCAGGCGGUUUGCUAAGACCGAUGUGAAAUCCCCGGGCUCAACCUGGGAACUGCAUUGGUGACUGGCAGGCUAGAGUAUGGCAGAGGGGGGUAGAAUUCCACGUGUAGCAGUGAAAUGCGUAGAGAUGUGGAGGAAUACCGAUGGCGAAGGCAGCCCCCUGGGCCAAUACUGACGCUCAUGCACGAAAGCGUGGGGAGCAAACAGGAUUAGAUACCCUGGUAGUCCACGCCCUAAACGAUGUCAACUAGUUGUUGGGGAUUCAUUUCCUUAGUAACGNAGGAAUUGACGGGGACCCGCACAAGCGGUGGAUGAUGUGGAUUAAUUCGAUGCAACGCGAAAAACCUUACCUACCCUUGACAUGGUCGGAAUCCUGCUGAGAGGUGGG
rnacentral:rRNA from 1 species